AAGAACUCUAAAUAUGACCCUCAAAAGUAGUUGGGAGCCGUGGUUUGUGGAGGGUCAAGUUGCCGGGUACACAAUGAGCUUCACCAAGAAUAAUUACCAUAUGACUUUAUGCUACGGUGAAGGGAGGGGGUCAUACAGCUCCAGAGUACAAGCCUAAAGAAAGUUUUGCCAUGGCAUAUAGGUGGUUCGCCCACUACUAUCUGUGAGUUAAUUAGAUUA